GACGAACGCUGGCGGCGUGCUUAACACAUGCAAGUCGAACGGAAAGGCCCUGCUUUUGUGGGGUGCUCGAGUGGCGAACGGGUGAGUAACACGUGAGUAACCUGCCCUUGACUUUGGGAUAACUUCAGGAAACUGGGGCUAAUACCGGAUAGGAGCUCUUGCUGCAUGGUGGGGGUUGGAAAGUUUCGGCGGUUGGGGAUGGACUCGCGGCUUAUCAGCUUGUUGGUGGGGUAGUGGCUUACCAAGGCUUUGACGGGUAGCCGGCCUGAGAGGGUGACCGGCCACAUUGGGUCUGAGAUACGGCCCAGACUCCUACGGGAGGCAGCAGUGAGGAAUAUUGCACAAUGGGCGGAAGCCUGAUGCAGCAACGCCGCGUGCGGGAUGACGGCCUUCGGGUUGUAAACCGCUUUCGCCUGUGACGAAGCGUGAGUGACGGUAAUGGGUAAAGAAGCACCGGCUAACUACGUG
rnacentral:rRNA from 1 species